rnacentral:rRNA from 1 species
UGGGGAAUAUUGGACAAUGGGGGCAACCCUGAUCCAGCAAUGCCGCGUGUGUGAAGAAGGCCUUCGGGUUGUAAAGCACUUUCAGACGCGAGGAAACGGUUGUAGUUAAUACCUGCAACAAUUGACGUUAACGUCAGAAGAAGCACCGGCUAACUCCGUGCCAGCAGCCGCGGUAAUACGGAGGGUGCGAGCGUUAAUCGGAAUUACUGGGCGUAAAGCGCGCGUAGGCGGGCUAUUAAGUCAGAUGUGAAAGCCCCGGGCUUAACCUGGGAACUGCAUUUGAUACUGGUAGCCUUGAGUAUGGUAGAGGUAAGCGGAAUUUCCAGUGUAGCAGUGAAAUGCGUAGAGAUUGGAAGGAAUAUCGAUGGCGAAGGCAGCUUACUGGGCCAAUACUGACGCUAAGGUGCGAAAGCGUGGGUAGCGAACG